GUGAAACAUAAUAAUAGCAAUUAUAUGCAGAGUGAUAUUUGAUACAGCCAGUCUGUUAAUCAAGCCCAUUCUGAUAGAAGGUUGACCAUAUGUUCGACAAAUUUCAAAGAUAGUUGCUAUGGUAAUUAAGUUUAUAGGAAAUCUGAAUGUAAUGGGAUGGUCACUUUUGUGAUUAUUUCCUGUUGUGUAUUUGUAAGAGAGCAGCGAUACGAAGAAAACAAAAAGAGAAAAUCAUGUCAUCUGAGAUUCAAAGAGAAAGAUAGUAACAUGUAAGUUGUAACUUUAAAAAAUCUGAUAUAUAUAUACGAUUCAGAAUGACAAAUACAAUAUGAUUUUUUAAUCUGAGGGAUGUUGUUAAAAAUCAAAACAUAUAUUAAUUUCUAUCAUUUUAUAAUGCUGAUCUUGAAGUUUAUACGUUUCGGGCGAAAUAUUUUCUAGAUUUUAAAUCAUUUCAAUCCUAUUAAUUAUCAUGAAAUAUUUGCCACUGAACAUUAGUAUCUUCAAACAAAUGGUAAAAUAUAUAAAUCUAUAACCACAACAUGUAUGAUCAAUACUGAAGUUAAUGGAAUAAAAUUGUCUUAAGAUGUACCUUAUUCCGUAAUUUUUUCAAAAAUGUGGUAUAAUGAUUUCUACUUCAUUAAAAUAUAAAUGAAUUUGUUAGUUUUAUUGUAUAUAAAUUCUAAAUCGCAUGCAAACAGAUACGAUAUAUUUGUGAAACCUAAUCAUAUACACACUUGAAUGUGUAACAGUGUUUUUAUAUAUCAAAUAUAUAACUGUUCAUUAAUACACAUCUAAAUUAUUCUUUAUAUAUCAUGUUUAUUACGAAUAUCCAGACUUAACUAAUCGAUCAGAUCGGUAAUCGAACACUAAUCGAUCAUAUUUGAUCAGUACUCGAUUGAUGACUUGAAGUCAUCGAUCAGUAAUCGAUCAAACUCUCUCAGGAGUUUGAUCGAUUAGUGAUUGAUUAGAUUACUGAUCGAUUUAAGACCGAUUACUGAUGGAUUAGUGAUUGAUUAAUGACAGAUUAGUGAUUUUAUUAUUAUUGACAAAACAAUGCUCUUCCAGAAAAUUGCCUAAUGAAAGACAUCAUUUGUGAAAUAAAAAUUCCAUGAAAAUAUUUUCACCAUUGCCAAAAUUUUCUGGAAUUCUAGAAUUUAAAAUUAUUUCACUGCUAAGAAGAUACUGGAAUUUUAUUUUCAUGAUGUUGUCAAUGUGUCUGGAAAUUUGAAUGUAAAGAUUAGAACCAAUACCCAUGCCAGACAUCAGUGUUUAUUUUUAAGUCUUGAAUUCAUGUUUCUGUCUAAAUAUGCCAAAAAAUCCAGGAUUUACUCAGCAAUACAUUUUUACACAAUAUGCAGUCGUAACCAAAAGAAGCGUAUCUAAAAGCUUAGCCCUAACAUAUUCCUGAUUAAAAACUACAUUUUUGUAGGUUUACCCAUGUAUAUUGGUACAAUAACUGUGAUGUCUUGAAAGGCUAUUUUAAUUUUUUCUUUUACAAACUUUCAUUGACGGAAGGCGUCAAAGCAAAAUUUAAAAAAGCCAUCCAAGAUGUCAUAAUUAUUGAUAUAAAAACUCUAAUUUUUAUAUGUGUGAAUGUAACAAAUUUGGUUGUAGAGGGGUCUAAAUACAGCACAAACUACAUUUUCCAAAAGACCAAAAGAGUGAAAAAAUAGAUUUUAACAACAACAUUUGACUUGAAUAUAGUAGUAUAUAUAUCCUUCUAUGGUUUGAUAAAUAUUUGAUGCCUUUUAAGUUGAUGACCUUUGUUAACACAUCAAAAUUAAUUUUUACAUAUAAUAUUAGCUUCAGACACUUGUGAUUUUAUUAAGAAGAUGAAAAUUUCAACCAAGCUAAUAUAUAUUAAAAUCUGUAUUUUUCAUAUAUACGGAUUAAUCAACACAAAUAAAUUGUGCAAUUUGAUAUAUCCUUAACUUUAUGAUGAAAUUUAGGGUUUGUCCUAUAACAUUAUUAACUAAUGCCAGAAUUUAGGUCACAACUAAAUAGCCAGAACAUUUACCAAUUAACAGAAAAUUGAUACAUCAUUUAUUCAAACACACUUGUUUGUCUUCACAGCAGGAUAUUGUCUAAUUUCCACAAUAUUGUAGAAGACUGACCAGAAAUUACCAGCUGUGGACUAUGACUCUACUAAGGAUUGCAAAAUACUGAUAAAAAUAAAUAGAUUGACUUUUGAAUUUACAUACAGAAGAUUCCCCCUUUUUUCUAAAAUUUUAAAAUAGUCCUAAUGCAAGGCAAUAGUGGUUAAUGUUUUAUUUUCACACGAAAGCAUACACAUCUAAAGAUAAGUAGAAUGAAUAUGAAUAAGAAUUAAAGAUGUUUUUAAAUAGAAUUGAGUAUGUGCCCGUCACAAGUCAGGAGCCUGUAAUUCAGUGAUUGUCUUUUUUUAUUAUGUGUUACAUAUUUGCUUUUAAAUAAAUAAGGCCGUUAUAUCCACCUAUGAUUUGUAGUUGCAUAGUGCAACUACAAAUCAUUGUUCUGGCCUUUCAUUGAUACUGUGUAGCAAUGUUUAGAGUUUUUCUAUAAAUAUGGUGAUUAAAUGGAAACUUUCAGCAGAGACCACACCACCCCUUCUGUUUGUCAUUUUUUUAUUACUGCUUUUAAUUUAUUGAUUUUUUCAUAAUUUUGUAAAAUUUGUUAAUUUGAAUUUAGAUUUUUUUUUUUUUUUUUGCAGAGUUCACGAAAUCUUUUUUCCCCAGGUGGUCCUUGGAGAAAAUUUGCUGGUCCUCAUUAUCAAUUCUAUUGAAAAAUACUAAAAUUGUGUCAGUCCUAUGCAAAAUUUUGGUGGUAAAAUCCAGAGGACCACCACUUUUCAUGAACUCUGUUUUUGAUUUUCUAACUAUUUCAUCCUAUUUUAAUAAAUGUUGAAUUAAGUGUUUCCUGGUAGAAUUUUGUCUUAUAAGAAUUUCAGUUUACAUGUGAGGUUUACAUGAUGAUGGUCAUUAAUUAGUUCUGCACAGUGAAAUAUUUUGAAGGAAUUGUGACCUUCAUACAAACUAUUUUAUAGGUCAUUUCAUUAAUUCACCAAUGUUCUAUUUCUUUUGAAUCCAAUGGAUAGGUUUUAAUGGGAUAUGAUACACAAUGAAGCACUUAUUGAAGAAUCUGUUUUAAUCAGAUGCCAGAAUUUCCUGAAUACUGUUUGAAGUUCUUCUGCUUCAGGAUGAUAAUAUGUAUUUCAAGGUCUAGAAAUUUUAUGGAAUGAUUAUUGCAUUCCUUAGUAAACUUUAGCAGGUAGUGUUGUUGAAUGAAUUGAGUGGUAGGGAUGAGCUGGUCAUCAUGGUCACUAUUUCCAGCUCUAUUACAUAUUUCAUGAUAAAAUCGUGAAAUUUAGAUGGAGGUGAAGUUUUCAACUUGCCUGUUUAUAUCACAAGUGUCUGAAACUAAUUAGAUGUCAGUAUCUUUUGAUGUUUGUUAAUGUUUCCAAUAGUGUGGUCAAAUCAAUUAUCUCUAAAUCAAUUUUCCCAUACAAUCUUACCAGUUAUUUAUUUGCUGUUUGUGCUUUUGAUCCUAUUGUUUGACAUUUUCACCUAAUUAACAUUAACAAUAUAUAAUAAUGAAACAUUACAUUACUACAAAUGUAUCCUGAAAAGAAAUUCUGAUGUGUUUAGAAAAAAUAGCAAUGUAUCUUUCAUCAGUUAUAUACAUGUAUACUUUAGGUUAAUCUUAUUUUCAUAAAAAGAAACAUUUUAUGACAGAUAUACAUUUUUGAUAAGUAAAAAUAUGAUACGGGAAGGGUUGGGUAAGUGCUGGAUCCAAAUUCACAUGGAAAUAAUGUUGUAGGUCAUAUCUAAUUAUAUAUAACAGUAGUCCAAAUAAUUAUGACAUCUUGGAAGGCUAUUUUAAAUUUUGCUUUGACCCUUUCCGUCAAUGAAAGGCGUAAAAGAAAAAUAUACAAAAGCCUUUCAAGACUUCAUAUCAUAGUUUUUAGGACUAAUAUACACGAGUAAACCUACAAAAAUGUAGUUUUUAGUCAGGAAUUUGUAUGGGCUAAGCUUUUAGAUAUGCUUCUUUUGGUUACGACUGCAUAUUGUAUAAACAUGUAUUACUGAGUAAAUCCAGGAAUUUCAGAAAAUUUUGGCAAUGGUGAAAAUAUUUUCAUGGAACUUUUAUUUCACAAAUGAUGUCUUUCAUAAGGCUUAUUUCUGGAAUAGCAUUGUUUUUGUCAAUAAUAAUAAAAUCACUAAUCUGUCAUUAAUCAAUCACUAAUCCAUCAGUAAUCGGUCUUAAAUCGAUCAGUAAUCUAAUCAAUCACUAAUCGAUCAAACUCCUGAGAGAGUUUGAUCGAUUACUGAUCGAUGACUUCAAGUCAUCAAUCGAGUACUGAUCAAAUAUGAUCGAUUAGUGUUCGACUACCGAUCUGAUCGAUUAGUUAAGUCUGGGAAUAUAUAAAGCAUGAUACCGAAUUCUGAAAUAAUAGUAAUAAGGGGUUUGUUAUACCCACAAAUCUGUCUAAUACUAAAGAUUUCUGACCAUUAGACAAAUAACCAAUAUAAAACAAAAUGGUUAUUUAAGAUUUUAUUUUGUAUUAAAUAGUGUUUAAACUAUUUAGAAUAUACAUUAAUUCAUAUUACAUAUCUAGAAGGGAGAUUACGCACGCAUGCAUUAGGCAAAUACGCAAUUCAAGUUUACUUAUAACUUUAUUACAGAGUCGGUUAGAAAAAAACAUAGCUGUAAAGAGUCUUCGGAUAAGGAAAUAGAUGAUGCAGCUAAAGAUUGGCGGCGCUUAAGCCUUGACAGAGAAGGUGGCAAGAAACAGAGAAGAGAAAAAAAGAAUAACAAUUAUAAAUAAUAAUGACACUGUUGAAGUUCAAAUUGAGGAGGACACUAAUAGUGGUGACGACCAAUGAUAUUAAAUUUAAAAUAAAUAAAGUUUCAUCUUCUGAAUUAUUUAAUUUUCAUUCUGGAUCUGGAACCAAUACAACUAAAAUUACAUCUCCGAAAAAACUAUUUGUUUGAUCGCCUAACCAUAAGCCAUACGUCAUUUGUUCUGUUAAAGAAAUAAAUGAAAUUGAUAUGAAAAAAGAAGAUGUGGUAUGAUUGCUAAUGAGACAACUCUUUACAAGACACCAAAUGACACAGAAUUUAUCUGGUCGAUCCAUCAAACAUUGCCAAAGAAAUAUCUUAGCGUCACACAAUAAAUAAAAUUAAAGAGGCA
rnacentral:lncRNA from 1 species